rnacentral:tRNA from 1 species
GUGGAGAUAGCUCAGUGGUAGAGCAUGUGCUUACCAUGCAGGAGGUCCUGGGUUCCAUCCCCACUCCCUCCA